GUGGAAGUUCUGCGGAAUCGGAGUCACAAUCUGAAUAUAUUCUCUAUUCUAAAGAAUGAUCUGUCCAUGUGUAAAGUGGAGACAUCUCCUUUGAUGGAGAUCUGCCAAAGGCAACUGGACAAGUAUAUAGAGACAGCAUCUACGGAGUGUCUCCACCAUGAUGUCUUGUUGCACCUUGUAUGGUUGUUGGCCGAGGACCUGAGAUCCCUGACUCAUGGUGACCGUUACAAUACACAGAGA